rnacentral:rRNA from 1 species
UUUAAUGAGAGUUUGAUCCUAGCUCAGGACGAACGCUGGCGGCGUGCCUAAUACAUGCAAGUAGAACGCUGAGGUUUGGUGUUUACACUAGACUGAUGAGUUGCGAACGGGUGAGUAACGCGUAGGUAACCUGCCUCAUAGCGGGGGAUAACUAUUGGAAACGAUAGCUAAUACCGCAUAAGAGUAAUUAACACAUGUUAGUUAUUUAAAAGGAGCAAUUGCUUCACUGUGAGAUGGACCUGCGUUGUAUUAGCUAGUUGGUGAGGUAAAGGCUCACCAAGGCGACGAUACAUAGCCGACCUGAGAGGGUGAUCGGCCACAC